CAAUACUAGCUGAAAUGGGUCACCAGUUUCUCCUCGUGGGAGGCAACCCAAGACUCUGAUUGCGCUGAGUAAAGCUGGUCAGCUAUUUUACAAGGAAAACACCUGGCACCGAAUCCUGGGCUCUUUAGAGAACUGCUAGCUAAGCCUCUUCCCUGGGAGCAAUGAAUUUCAACCUGCAGUAAUGAUGUUUGAGAAGGAUGACUGGAAGCUUGUCAGGACCUGGAACGUCACAAAUCCUCCAACUGGUAAAACUGAGGCAAGAAUUUGAUUCUUACAUUGGUAAGUUCUAGCUUUUCCCUGUAUUCCUUAGCUGUUUGGUGUAGGGUUGAUGACCUAUAUCUAUCAGAACUCAAUGAAAAUAAAUAGUUAAUGGCACAUCA
rnacentral:lncRNA from 1 species